rnacentral:rRNA from 1 species
AGCAGCCGCGGUAAUUCCAGCUCCAAUAGCGUAUAUUAAAGUUGUUGCAGUUAAAAAGCUCGUAGUUGAAUUUCGAGACCGGUUUACUGGUCGUGCUUUUGUACGUACUGGUAUUAUUGGUUUCUCCUUUCUGACGAAUCAUAAUGCCAUUAAUUUGGUGUUUUGGGAAUCAGGACUGUUACUUAGAAAAAUUGAGUGUUAAG